GACGAACGCUGGCGGCGUGCCUAAUACAUGCAAGUCGAGCGAAGUUUUUCUGGUGCUUGCACUAGAAAAACUUAGCGGCGAACGGGUGAGUAAAACGUAAAGAACCUGCCUAAUAGACUGGAACACCAAUUGGAAACGAUAGCUAAUACCGGAUAACAGUAUUUCUCGCAUAAGAGAUAUUUAAAAGUUGGUUAUGCUAACACUAUGAGAUGGCUUUGCGGUGAAUUAGCUAGUUGGUGGGGUAAAGGCCCACCAAGGCGACGAUGCAUAGCCGACCUGAGAGGGUGAUCGGCCACACUGGGACUGAGACACGGCCCAGACUCCUACGGGAGGCAGCAGUAGGGAAUCUUCCGCAAUGGGCGAAAGCCUGACGGAGCAACGCCGCGUGAGUGAAGAAGGAUUUCGGUUCGUAAAGCUCUGUUGUUAGGGAAGAAUGGAUAUGUAGUAACUAUACAUGUAAGAGACGGUACCUAACCAGAAAGCCACGGCUAACUACGUG
rnacentral:rRNA from 1 species